rnacentral:rRNA from 1 species
UGAGCAAUCUGCCCUUCUCAUCGGAAUAAGCGUUGGAAACGACGUCUAAUGCCGAAUACGACCUCCUUUCGCAUGAUCGGAGGUGGAAAGCUCCGGCGGAGAAGGG